AUAAGAGUUAGGGUCACUACGUGUCCUGAUAAGGGUUAGGGUCACUACGUGUCCUGAUAAGGGUUAGGGUUAGGGUCACUACGUGUCCUGAUAAGGGUUAGGGU